rnacentral:rRNA from 1 species
AUUGAACGCUGGCGGCAGGCCUAACACAUGCAAGUCGAACGAGUGGCGGACGGGUGAGUAAUGUCUGGGAAACUGCCCGUUGGAGGGGGAUAACUACUGGAAACGGUAGCUAAUACCGCAUACCAUCGGAUGUGCCCAGAUGGGCUUAGCUAGUAGGUGGGGUAACGGCUCACCUAGGCGACGAUCCCUAGCUGGUCUGAGAGGAUGACCAGCCAUACUGGAACGGAGAAACGGUCCAGAUUCCGACGGGAGGAAGAAGUGGGGAAUAUUGCACAAUGGGCGAAAGCCUGAUGCAGCACUGCGGGGUGUAUGAAGAAGGCCUUCGGGUUGUAAAGUACUUUCAGCGAGGAGGCGGUACUCGCAGAAGAAGCACCGGCUAACUCCGUGCCAGCAGCCGCGGUAAUAC